CUCGUAGGUGGUUUGUCGCGUUGUUCGUGAAAACUCACAGCUUAACUGUGGGCGUGCGGGCGAUACGGGCAGACUAGAGUACUGCAGGGGAGACUGGAAUUCCUGGUGUAGCGGUGAAAUGCGUAGAGAUUGGGAGGAACACCAGUGGCGAAGGCGACUAACUGGACUGUAACUGACGCUGAGGCGCGAAAAUGUGGGGAGCAAACA
rnacentral:rRNA from 1 species